CCCUUAGAUGUUCUGGGCUGCACGCGCGCUACACUGAUGCGCUCAACAAGUUUAUGACCUUGCCCGGAAGGGUUGGGUAAUCUUCUUAGCACGCAUCGUGAUGGGGAUAGAUUAUUGCAAUUAUUAAUCUUCAACGAGGAAUUCCUAGUAAGCGCGAGUCAUCAGCUCGUGCUGAUUACGUCCCUGCCCUUUGUACACACCGCCCGUCGCUCCUACCGAUUGAGUGGUCCGGUGAGGCUUUGGGAUCUGAGCGGAAAGAGCGUUUCGCUGUUUCUGCUCGGAAAACUCAGUCGAACCUUAUCAUUUAGAGGAAGGAGAAGUCGUAACA
rnacentral:rRNA from 1 species